rnacentral:rRNA from 1 species
GAUGAACGCUGGCGGCGUGCUUAACACAUGCGAGUCGAACGGAAAGGCUCCUGCUUGCAGGGGUACUCGAGUGGCGAACGGGUGAGUAACACGUGGGUGAUCUGCCCUGCACUUCGGGAUAAGCCUGGGAAACUGGGUCUAAUACCGGAUAGGACGAUGGUUUGGAUGCCAUUGUGGAAAGUUUUUUCGGUGUGGGAUGAGCUCGCGGCCUAUCAGCUUGUUGGUGGGGUAAUGGCCUACCAAGGCGUCGACGGGUAGCCGGCCUGAGAGGGUGUACGGCCACAUUGGGACUGAGAUACGGCCCAGACUCCUACGGGAGGCAGCAGUGGGGAAUAUUGCACAAUGGGCGCAAGCCUGAUGCAGCGACGCCGCGUGGGGGAUGACGGCCUUCGGGUUGUAAACUCCCUUCGCUAGGGACGAAGCGCAAGUGACGGUACCUGGAGAAGAAGCACCGGCUAACUACGUG